AACGAACGCUGGCGGCAUGCCUAACACAUGCAAGUCGAACGAGACCUUCGGGUCUAGUGGCGCACGGGUGCGUAACGCGUGGGAACCUGCCCUUAGGUUCGGAAUAACUCCCCGAAAGGGGUGCUAAUACCGGAUAAUGUCUUCGGACCAAAGAUUUAUCGCCUUUGGAUGGGCCCGCGUUGGAUUAGCUAGUUGGUAGGGUAAAAGCCUACCAAGGCGACGAUCCAUAGCUGGUCUGAGAGGAUGAUCAGCCACACUAGGACUGAGGCACGGCCCAGACUCCUACGGGAGGCAGCAGUGGGGAAUAUUGGACAAUGGGCGAAAGCCUGAUCCAGCAAUGCCGCGUGAGUGAUGAAGGCCUUAGGGUUGUAAAGCUCUUUUACCCGGGAUGAUAAUGACAGUACCGGGAGAAUAAGCGCCGGCUAACUCCGUG
rnacentral:rRNA from 1 species